rnacentral:lncRNA from 1 species
UUCUUUUAAAAAUAAAUCAACAAAAAGGAUUUGCUAACUUGAUUUAACUAAAUCAAACUAUGAGUACGGAUUGAAAUUUUAUCAAAGUAAAUAGAUCUAGGGUUUGGAAUCCACCACAUAGCAUUGCAUCAAGGAUUGUGUUCUUAAUCUUAUCUUUUGGAGAGGCAUGCAAUUUUGGCUACAAGCCUUAUAAAAUAAAAGCAUAAAGAGUUUUAGGAAGAUCCAUCUUCGGUAUAGC